rnacentral:rRNA from 1 species
UACGGGGGGGGCAAGCGUUGUUCGGAAUUACUGGGCGUAAAGGGCUCGUAGGCGGCCAACUAAGUCAGACGUGAAAUCCCUAGGCUCAACCUAGGAACUGCGUCUGAUACUGGAUGGCUUGAAUCCGGGAGAGGGAUGCAGAAUUCCAGGUGUAGCGGUGAAAUGCGUAGAGAUCCGGAGGAAUACCAGAGGCGAAGGCGGCACCCUGGGUCUGACCUGACGCUGAUCCGCGACAGCAUGGGGAGCGAACGGG